rnacentral:tRNA from 1 species
GCCCGGAUGGUGAAAUUGGUAGACACAAGGGACUUAAAAUCCCUCGCCCUUGCGGCAUGCCGGUUCGACUCCGGCUCCGGGCACCA